GGUUAAGCGACUAAGCGUACACGGUGGAUGCCCUGGCAGUCAGAGGCGAUGAAGGACGUGCUAAUCUGCGAUAAGCGUCGGUAAGGUGAUAUGAACCGUUAUAACCGGCGAUUUCCGAAUGGGGAAACCCAGUGUGAUUCGUCACACUAUCAUUAACUGAAUCCAUAGGUUAAUGAGGCGAACCGGGGGAACUGAAACAUCUAAGUACCCCGAGGAAAAGAAAUCAACCGAGAUUCCCCCAGUAGCGGCGAGCGAACGGGGAGGAGCCCAGAGCCUGAAUCAGUGUGUGUGUUAGUGGAAGCGUCUGGAAAGGCGCGCGAUACAGGGUGACAGCCCCGUACACAAAAAUGCACAUGCUGUGAGCUCGAUGAGUAGGGCGGGACACGUGGUAUCCUGUCUGAAUAUGGGGG
rnacentral:rRNA from 1 species